GAUGAACGCUGGCGGCGUGCUUAACACAUGCAAGUCGAACGGAAAGGCCUCUGCUUGCAGGGGUACUCGAGUGGCGAACGGGUGAGUAACACGUGGGUGAUCUGCCCUGCACUUCGGGAUAAGCCUGGGAAACUGGGUCUAAUACCGGAUAGGACAAUGGUUUGGAUGCCGUUGUGGAAAGUUUUUCGGUGUGGGAUGAGCUCGCGGCCUAUCAGCUUGUUGGUGGGGUAAUGGCCUACCAAGGCGUCGACGGGUAGCCGGCCUGAGAGGGUGUACGGCCACAUUGGGACUGAGAUACGGCCCAGACUCCUACGGGAGGCAGCAGUGGGGAAUAUUGCACAAUGGGCGCAAGCCUGAUGCAGCAACGCCGCGUGCGGGAUGACGGCCUUCGGGUUGUAAACCGCUUUCGCCUGUGACGAAGCGUGAGUGACGGUAAUGGGUAAAGAAGCACCGGCUAACUACGUG
rnacentral:rRNA from 1 species